AGUGAACGCUGGCGGCGUGCUUAACACAUGCAAGUCGAACGAGAACGGAUUAUAACUUGCUAUAAUUGUCAGCUAAGUGGCGCACGGGUGAGUAAUGUAUAGAUAACCUGCCCUUAAGAAAGGAAUAACAGUUGGAAACGACUGCUAAUGCCCUAUAUGCCUUUAAUACAUAAGUAUGCAAGGGAAACGCUUUAGUGCUUAAGGAUGGGUCUGUAUGGUAUCAGCUUGUUGGUGAGGUAAUGGCUCACCAAGGCUAUGACGCCUAACUGGUUUGAGAGGAUGAUCAGUCACACUGGAACUGAGACACGGUCCAGACUCCUACGGGAGGCAGCAGUGGGGAAUAUUGCACAAUGGACGAAAGUCUGAUGCAGCAACGCCGCGUGGAGGAUGACACAUUUCGGUGCGUAAACUCCUUUUAUAUAGGAAGAUAAUGACGGUACUAUAUGAAUAAGCACCGGCUAACUCCGUGCCAGCAGCCGCGGUAA
rnacentral:rRNA from 1 species